rnacentral:rRNA from 1 species
GGAGGGUGCAAGCGUUACUCGGAAUCACUGGGCGUAAAGGACGCGUAGGCGGAUUAUCAAGUCUCUUGUGAAAUCUAACGGCUUAACCGUUAAACUGCUUGGGAAACUGAUAAUCUAGAGUAAGGGAGAGGCAGAUGGAAUUCUUGGUGUAGGGGUAAAAUCCGUAGAGAUCAAGAAGAAUACCCAUUGCGAAAGCGAUCUGCUGGAACUUAACUGACGCUAAUGCGUGAAAGCGUGGGGAGCAAACAGGAUUAGAUACCCUGGUAGUCCACGCCCUAAACGAUGUAUACUAGUUGUUGCUUCGCUAGUCGAGGCAGUAAUGCACCUAACGGAUUAAGUAUACCGCCUGGGGAGUACGGUCGCAAGAUUA